rnacentral:rRNA from 1 species
AUGGCAAGUGAGGAUGAUGACCUUCGUGCGCGUCGUGCAGGAAGUGACAAGGAGCAAGGUUAUAAUACAGUGGUGGCACUGGAAAGGGUGGCGACGGAGUCCAGAAGGAUGGAGGUGCUGCUGCUGCACUUGGUUCUGGAAUUGGCAUGGGAGGAGGAGCAGCUGAUGAUGGAACUAAUUCUUGUGGGAGGAUCCAGCGUCAUGUCUGUGAGCCUGGAUACGCAUUCAGGGGUUCCUCAGAGGUUGGAGGUAUCUCAAGCCAAGGAGGACGGGGUGGCAAUGCAAAUGUUGAAGGUGCAUAAAUUUUCAGAAUGA